AAGUCGUAACAAGGUAACCGUAGGUGAACCUGCGGUUGGAUCAUUAUCAAUUUAAAACAGGGCCCGCAAGGGUCUUACUAACCAUGUGCACUAAACUAAUUGUUUUUGGGUUAGGGAGUUUUCUAACUUUCUAGCCCAACCUUUUCUUUAUAAACAUUUUUACUGUAUAGUCUGAUUUAAUAAUCUUGUUAUUUAAAAAUAUUAAUAACUUUUGACAACGGAUCUCUUGGCUCUC
rnacentral:misc_RNA from 1 species